UUACCAAAAACAUCGCCUUUAGAAAAAAGAUUAAAGGUUCUGCCUGCCCGGUGACAAUAGUUAAACGGCUGCAGUAUUACUGACUGUGCAAAGGUAGCAUAAUCAUUCGCCUGUUAAUUGCAGGCUAGUAUCAACGGCUAGACGACAGAGAAGCUGUCUCCCCUUAUAUAAUUUGAAAUUAACCUUAAGGUGAAGAGACCUUAAUAAUGUAGUGGGACGAGAAGACCCUAUAGAGCUUUACCUAUAUUAUUUUAAAUUUUGAAUUAGUAGGUUUGGUUGGGGCAACCUCCCCUUUUUUAAAGCAGGGGAUAAUCAAAAUGUAUUAAAACAAAUAACAAGACCCAAAACUUUUUGAUCAAAAGAAAAAGUUACCUUAGGGAUAACAGCGUAA
rnacentral:rRNA from 1 species